GAUGAACGCUGGCGGCGUGCCUAAUACAUGCAAGUCGAGCGAACAGACGAGGAGCUUGCUCCUCUGACGUUAGCGGCGGACGGGUGAGUAACACGUGGAUAACCUACCUAUAAGACUGGGAUAACUUCGGGAAACCGGAGCUAAUACCGGAUAAUAUAUUGAACCGCAUGGUUCAAUAGUGAAAGACGGUUUUGCUGUCACUUAUAGAUGUAUCCGCGCCGCAUUAGCUAGUUGGUAAGGUAACGGCUUACCAAGGCAACGAUGCGUAGCCGACCUGAGAGGGUGAUCGGCCACACUGGAACUGAGACACGGUCCAGACUCCUACGGGAGGCAGCAGUAGGGAAUCUUCCGAAAUGGGCGAAAGCCUGAAGGAGCAACGCCGCGUGAGUGAUGAAGGUCUUCGGAUCGUAAAACUCUGUUAUUAGGGAAGAACAAAUGUGGAAGUAACUAUGCACGUCUUGACGGUACCUAAUCAGAAAGCCACGGCUAACUACGUG
rnacentral:rRNA from 1 species